UACGUAGGUGGCAAGCGUUGUCCGGAUUUACUGGGCGUAAAGAGCGCGCAGGCGGUCGUUCAAGUCGCGUGUGAAAGCCCCCGGCUCAACUGGGGAGGGUCACGCGAUACUGAUCGACUCGAAGGCAGGAGAGGGUAGUGGAAUUCCCGGUGUAGUGGUGAAAUGCGUAGAUAUCUGGAGGAACACCGGUGGCGAAGGCGGCAUCCUGGACCGGUAUUGACGCUGAGGCGCGAAAGCUAGGGGAGCAAACGGG
rnacentral:rRNA from 1 species